rnacentral:tRNA from 1 species
GUACUUAGCACACCAAGACGUAGCUAUAAUAUAUAAAGCAUUCAGCUUACACCUGAAAGAUGCCUGCUACACAUCAGGUCGUCUUGA